rnacentral:misc_RNA from 1 species
CUGAAGUGAUUUGGGGAUGUUGCUGGCCUCUUCUUUUUGAGGGGCAAUGUGCACUCCCUGAACAAUUCACAAUUUCCAUCACACCCUUGUGCACAUCUUGUAGGCGCCCACUCACCUCUCUUGGUCGUUGGGGCGUCCUAUGUAUUCCUUCAUCUCACACUUUAUUGAAUGGUGCUCUUGAACGCAUCUUAUGGAUUAUUUGUAAUAAAGUAAUCACAGAAA